GUCUACGGCCACACCACCCUGAAUGCACCCGAUAUCGUCUAAUCUCGGAAGCUAAGCAGGGUUGGGCCUGGUUAAUACUUGGGUGGCAGAAUAGACU
rnacentral:rRNA from 1 species